AGGCUCCGGUUCCCAGGCGGCCUGCGGAGGACCCGCGAACUCAGGCGCAGGGAUCUCCUCCACUGAGGGAGGAACUGGAGAGAUGGGCUCCAUCCCAGGCCUGCCGCUGUCUUGACAGUGCUUGCUGCAGAAAAUCUGCCCCUCCUUAUCUAGAGCCGUGUUCUGAGGAGGAAACAGCAGAGACAACACAUUACCCGGGCCCAGGCUCGGGUCCCAGCUGCCACGAGCAGAGAGCACAACAGAGCAUGCACGGGCCUCAGAAACAGAAGAGGAGAAAUAACGCCAAGCUUCUAACAGAAGCCUCACAGGAGAGUAAUGGUUUCGGGAACCCACCGGGGGAAGGGGCUGUCCUUGGCCUCUGCUCCUACCCUGACCCAGGCUGGCAGCCCAGGACACACUGGAUGUCUGUCGUCUUCUCUCGCUUUGGGCUGUGCCUGGGUUCUCACCCCUUCAGCCCAAGCCCAGACCUUAAGCUCAAAAGAAUUCUGAGACAAUAAGCAAACCUUACAAGGGUGCUCAGUCUUGGAGAGUUUACUCUUCCAAAUAAAGCUCUCUGUCACAGAUUGAAAAGUUACCCGCAUGUCCUGUGAAUAAUUAAUCCUCCUAACAACCUGAGAUGCUGUGAAGCCUAUAAAAGGCCCAGGAAUUGGAUGGAGCCACAUUACUCUUUUUUCAGAUCCUCCAUGAUAUCCUCACCUGUCUUCUCUUCACAUGAAGCAAAGCUUCCUUAUCCUGAAACAUCCUGAAAGUUUUUAAAUCUGCUCAGCUCUUCAAGGAACAGAGAAACAGCCACAAAGAUGUGAGGCAGUCACCUUGCGUUCUAAGCCUGGCUGGGGAAGGGACCCCGGUCCUGCUUUCUCCUUCUCUAUUUCCUGCUUGUCCAGGGAAGCCCAUCAAGCUGCCAUCUCAAUGGGCUUCCCAAAAGUGAAGGAGAUGGCAGUUCCCAGGCACCUUUAGCUGAAAGGGACAAUUGCCAGGAGGCCUUUUGUAAUCUAACUACCCUGGGGAGGGAGAGGGGAAAAUGCACUAAAGAUUCUUUCAGUACUUUAACAACAACAAAAAAAGUCUGGAGAAAAUAAGAAUCAACAACAGGGCUUUCUAAGAUGAACUUGGGUGGCGGCCUUCAGGGCACCUGGGGCCACCUAUGGAAUGGCUGCUUCUCCACAGGCCCUCACAAGUUCAAGCUGAACAGUCAUCCAUUUCUGGCCGGGUGCAGUGGCUCACACCUGUAAUCCCAGCACUUCCGGAGGCCAAGGAGGGAGGAUCACUUGAGGUCAGGAGUUUGAGACCAGCCUGGGCAACACAGAGACUCCAUCUCCACAAAGAAUUUAAAAAUUAGCCGGGCAAGGUGGCGUGCACCUGUAGUCCUAGCUACUUGGAGGCUGAGGCAGGAGGAUGGCUUGAGCUCAGGAGUUUGAGGAUACAGUGAGCUAGGAUCACACCACCGCACUCCAGUCUGGGCAACAGAGCAAGAUCCUGUCUCAAUAAACAAAACUCCCCAAAUCCCUACAAUUUCCAAGGACAAUUUCAACUACCUGGAGAAAGGGUAACUGUGGAAAACUCCACUAAAAGAUGCUCCCACCUACAUGGGAAGCAGAGAGCCAGCAUACAGGUUUUUCCUACCACAAAAUGUCUCCUGGGUACAAGAAAACAAUCCCCCCGUUAUUUCUCCUUUUCUCUUCCUGUCAGAAGCACAGGGGCGUGUGUGGCAGAAGGCAGGCUGGCAGUGCGGUUAGUACAUACCAUGGCCUUGGACCUAGCCAGAGGGAAGCAAUGCAGGCGGCGGGAGAGGCAGAAGGCAGGAGAGAAGCAGGGACAGAAACUAGACUUACUUUCAACAGAAGCAACACGAGUGAAACAGUUUUGUCUAUCUUAAAUUAAGGCAAUAAACCCAAAUCCUUCCCCAACUUCCCCCUGAAACAAGGCAUAAUCCCCCAGCGAAGAAGGCAAUGCCCUUGAAUCCGUCCCUUCUCAAGUCUGCACCGCAGGCGCCGAGUGACGGCGGCUUCUCGGCAUUCCCUUCCCACCACAAGAUGGUCUCUCCUGGUCUCUGCAACUGGGGCGAGCCCCCCGGGGUACAUGGGAGGCCGUCCUGCAUGCACCCUGCUCUGUCCUUUCUUACGCAUGCUAAGGACAAGUCCAAGAAAAUGGGAACUGUAAUCCCACACCUCAGCCCUGCCUGAAACCAAGGCCUCACCCAUUAAAUUAUCUUCUCUUAUCCCAAAGGCUGGCUGAGAUUACACUUACUGAUACAAACUCAUCUUUGGAAAUGCAGCUGGAGAAAGAACAAAAGCCUUCACGAAGGCACCAUCUUAAGCUGCUCUUUCCGAAAAGCCACUUUUCACCUAAGUGGGAAACAGCAUCGGUAGGAGAACUAUGGGACUCCUCCCGUGCUCUCACCAGCUGUUGGUCUGGAAAGGCAGGCAGUGUGGUAAGCUGAGAAGUUUGAAAAUAAAGUUUUCCAGGGGCCUGCUUGGCUGGCUGGAAAGGAUGUGAGUAGGUACAAAAGACCCACACCAGUAAGCAGCUGAGAGCCGGACGGCGGCAUCAGAAACUGAGACAAGCAUGCAGGCGUGAGAGGGGCUGAGGAUGGGGCGCGCUGGUCGGACGCAGCGUGGUGAAUACCAGGAUUCUGCUUCAGGCUCUCCCACUGUCUCAGCGGGGUAAAGAAGGAAACUCUGAGGUGCCUCUCAAACUGUCAAAUCAAACUGUCAAACAAAAUGCAGAUAACACCAUCAACUUUACUUUUUUUUCACCUUUAUGGACCAAUUUCUAGCCCAUCAUUUUCUCACUGAAGUCUCAGGCCCCAGCUCUGGGGAUGAGAACACUAGGGUGACAGCAGAUGGGAAGGUCCUGUCUGUAAGUUAUCUGAUGAUUCAACCUCCAGACGGUUGACACUAUUUCCACUAUCAUUUGUAUCUGCAGAAAACCAGGUUGGCCCCACAGUCUCAGUUAUGAGGACCUAUGAGUACCAGGGAGAGUCAUUUUGAGGUUAUUUUUAAUGUAAAAACACUUAAAACUGUUCCGAAGACAGGACACACAGUGACGUGAGGAGGAUGAGGAGGAUGAGGAGGAUGAGGAGGACGAGGAGGAUGAGGAGGACGAGGAGGACAAUACAGCAGCAUCGCAAGUUCCCCCACACAACCAUGCCCCAGACCAGGUCCUGCGCCAGGGGAGGAUCAGCAGCAGGCCUUCCCCUCCCACUUUUUGGGACAGCCCAAAAGUCACAGGCUGGUGUUUUGGCCAUCGAGAAUGGGUGCCACCAGAGGCAAGACUGAUUGAAUUUCCCUGUAGGUACUGAAUGGGAUCAUGACAUCAGCAGUUCCUCUGAGCUAACAGCCUGCAGAGUUGUGUAGGUAACAUGGGGUUAGAGGGGACACCCUGCCAACAUGCGCAAAAUGACAACUGAACACACAUAAACAUACAACAUUUACAAUCACCAUCAGAGCUGCAAACAAUAACGGGUUGUUUGUUCACACAAACACCCUGUCAGAGCCCAGGGGUUUGUCUUUUGAGUCCUGAACUCCUCAUCAGCAAAUGGAAAAUGGUAUUUGUAAACCACACGACAUAGGUUCUGUCUGAGGGGGUCUAAGCGUCAUUAUCUAGGACAGAGCCUGUAGAACAGCUAAUCAUUCCAGAAUGUCAGCUGAGAGCCAGCCAUAAAGAGGCCGGGCACAGGCCUAUGGCCACUGAUUCCUAUCUGGGCCCCUGAGUCAAAAAGUGACCCCAGCAAUGACUCCCUUCACAGUCUCCGAGCAAACUCUCCUAAGCCCUGGGCACAGGGCGGUUAAAGGUUCUUCCUCUCAGAAGACUUAACAUGGUUAUUAAAUUUUGAUCCUAACCAAUCUCUCUUCUUAAGGUUUUUUCAUGACACGUUGAGUAUGCCAAUUUUUAAUGUUUUAUUUUUCUAAAUUUUCCAAGAAGCUGCCUUACAACGCAGUGCACAGCAAGACUGUGUACCACUGAGCCCAUCCAUCAAUGCUAGCUCUCGCAAGGGAAUCGCUGGAAACAUUCUCAUGCUGUUGGCUCAAUCAAGAUGGUUCUUUUCAAAGUGUCUAAGCUGUAAUUCUUUGACAACUCUGACUUUCUCAGGCUUUCAGCAAAACACUGCUAAAAUUCAAGGGAAACCACAACUCAAAAGGCCUUCUCACUGCUUUGGCACAGAGCGCCCCCAAAGUCCUGCAAGCCAUCAAAAGACUCAGCUUGCAAACCCAGGCUCUGUCUGGAGAGGGAGAGAGGGAGAGAGGGAGAGCACACUUUCUGGCAGGGGAGCAGCUGGGGAGUUGCAAGGACACACAGAGGGUGGCCACAUAAACGCAGCCGGGGGACAGAAGAGAAUGACGGCCCAGUGGGUGCUGAGAACCUGGUGGACGCUCAAUCCAUAUAACAGAGUGCUGCAUGCUCGUGGGGUGUGUGGGGUGUGUGGGGAAUGUGGGGUGUGUUCGGGUGUGGGGUGUGUGGGGGUAUGUGGGGUGUGUUCGGGUGUGGGGUGUGUAGGCUGUGUGGGCUAUGUGGGGGUGUGGGGUGUGUGGGUGUGUAUGUGGGGG
rnacentral:lncRNA from 1 species